rnacentral:rRNA from 1 species
AACGAACGCUGGCGGCAUGCCUAACACAUGCGAGUCGAACGAGACCUUCGGGUCUAGUGGCGCACGGGUGCGUAACGCGUGGGAACCUGCCCUUAGGUUCGGAAUAACUCCCCGAAGGGGGUGCUAAUACCGGAUAAUGUCUUCGGACCAAAGAUUUAUCGCCUUUGGAUGGGCCCGCGUUGGAUUAGCUAGUUGGUAGGGUAAAAGCCUACCAAGGCGACGAUCCAUAGCUGGUCUGAGAGGAUGAUCAGCCACACUGGGACUGAGACACGGCCCAGACUCCUACGGGAGGCAGCAGUGGGGAAUAUUGGACAAUGGGCGAAAGCCUGAUCCAACAAUGCCGCGUGAGUGAUGAAGGCCUUAGGGUUGUAAAGCUCUUUUACCCGGGAUGAUAAUGACAGUACCGGGAGAAUAAGCUCCGGCUAACUCCGUG